GUAGGUGGCAAGCGUUGUCCGGAAUUAUUGGGCGUAAAGCGCGCGCAGGCGGUUCUUUAAGUCUGAUGUGAAAGCCCACGGGCUCAACCGUGGAGGGUCAUUGGAAACUGGAGAACUUGAGUACAGAAGAGGAAAGCGGAAUUCCACGUGUAGCGGUGAAAUGCGUAGAGAUGUGGAGGAACACCAGUGGCGAAGGCGGCUUUCUGGUCUGUAACUGACGCUGAGGCGCGAAAGGCGUGGGGAGCAAACAGGAUUAGAUACCCUGGUAGUCCACGCCGUAAACGAUGAGUGCUAAGUGUUAGGGGGUUUCCGCCCCUUAGUGCUGCAGCUAACGCAUUAAGCACUCCGCCUGGGGAGUACGGCCGCAAGGCUG
rnacentral:rRNA from 1 species